AAUGUAUGUUGAAUGAAUAAUUGAAUUAAUAGUGAAUAUAUGGGGGACUAUGGCUCUAUGAAGUAAGUAGGUAAUAAUAUUUAUAUAAGAUUAAAAGCGAUUAAUGAGCUUCCCAAGAUCAUACCAUAGUAAUUUGAGGGCUACAACUCAAAUCCAUAUUUUUUAGCUUAAUGCUUCCCCCACCCAGUGUGGCCUUCCAAAUUUAAAAUGCCAACAUUAAAAAUAGUGUAUAAAAGAACAAUAAAACACACUUAUUCCAAUUAUUGAGUCUUUUUAAAUAGGUGGAUAAACUAAUCUGAUUCUUUCAACAUAUUUAAUUGAAUCUGUUUCCUGAUGCUCCUACUUUGUCUCAUUUAUGAAAUAUUUCAUUAAAAUCCAGUAAAGGCACUAUAUAGUUGUGUUAGUAAAGUCUUGACAUGAAUAUUAUCCAAAUCCAAGCAGUUAUAAACAUUUGCAAAUUCUUUCUUUCAAAGUAAUCUCAUAAUUUCUUUUCUCCCAUUUUCCAUCCCAGUGGUAAUGAAAAUAGCACGGACAUUGGACCGGAGCCUUUGGCCUGUAUUGGCUUACUGGUUAUAUGACCUUAUCCCAAGUCAUCUUGCCUGUAUGCCUUAGUUUGCUUACCUACAAAAUGAGAAGAAUGAUACCUAUUUCAUAGCAUUACUGUGAAGAUCAAGUGAGAUAGAAUAUGCCCAAUGCCUGGUACAUAUUAGAAUGCAGUGAGAUCAAUUUGAAGAUCAUGUCUUCCAAAGCAGCCUGAAGUUUCUUCAAGGCAAAGAUGACAUGUCAUUCAUCUUUUCUACAGUCUCUCACACGGAGCAAGCCAGCACACAGAAAGGAUGUGCCCUCAUCUGCUCCCCUGUGCUGAAAGUUUUCCAAGGAGUGUGAGUCUCCAGAUAGGCCUGCAGCAUUCCAGUGGGUUUCUGUAUUGGGAGGCCCACUUAUGUGCAGAUUUAAGCAGUUUCUUCAUUAUUAACUUCAACUAUAAUAAAAUAAUAGUUCUAUCCUCAACUGCCUUAUAUCAUUGUCCUAUUUCUCAGUUGAUUCAGAUACAAUACUAUUUUUGGGCUCUCUCAAACAAUGAAGGGAUAACCAAUGUUCAUUUUCUAAAAUUCCUGUCUUUAAAAACAGGACUUGGGAUCCCUGGGUGGCUCGGCAGUUUAGCGUCUGCCUUUGGCUCAGGACAUGGUCCUGGAGUCCCGGGAUCGAGUCCC